rnacentral:rRNA from 1 species
UACGAAGGGGGCUAGCGUUGCUCGGAAUUACUGGGCGUAAAGCGCACGUAGGCGGCUUUCUAAGUCGGGGGUGAAAUCCUGGAGCUCAACUCCAGAACUGCCUUCGAUACUGGAGAGCUCGAGUCCGGGAGAGGUGAGUGGAACUGCGAGUGUAGAGGUGAAAUUCGUAGAUAUUCGCAAGAACACCAGUGGCGAAGGCGGCUCACUG